UUAAAAUUAAAAUCUCGUUUACUCGACAAAAGGCAAUACAGUCAUCGAGUCAUAUCUACUCAUUUGGAACUUGCAAAGUCACUCUCACACUCAUCCAUUGACAGAUACACCAUUUUCUUUCUCUCUCUCAAAACAAAGAAAUAAGCAUUAUUCAUCCCUUUCUUCUCGCAGAAUUGCCCCUUUCAUUAUAUUUUUUUUCUAACUCAAUUCAACCUAAUCGCUGUUGAAACAACUUGUUUCACAGUCUUCACUGCAAUCGUCGCUUCGCAUCUCGCAGUUUCGCAUCGCAGUCGUGUUGCUUACAUCGUCACAGCAUCUCCAAUAGAGACGCUACCUUUUUCGUCUCUAACAACAUCAUUAAUCGACGCACACAUUCUUCUACUUCCUCUUGUAUUUAAACUUAUUAGAUUUAUUUUUUGAUGAAACUAAUGGUUCAUUUAACCGUAGAUUAGGAAUUAAAAGAUAUGAAAUUUUUUGAGUUUGAUUUUUUUACAAUAAAUGGGUCUUAAAUAUGAUAUAUUUUUUUUGCGCAGCAGAUGUGUUGUUAUGAGGCUUACGAGUGUUCAUUAGUUGAGAUGAAGUAGAAAGGGUCAUUCUUGUUGAUCAGAUUGUUGUGGAAUAAGCUACAAGGGGCAGAUGGUAGCUGUUGAGGUUUGGAAAAAUUAGGUUUAGAAGAUAUUGCAAAGCAUCGGGAUCUUUCAAAAAUGAAAAUUAUGAGUUGAUUAAUUUGGGUGAACUGGGGCGUUGAAAUUUAAUAAUAUGUCUAGAUAUGAGUUGAUAGAGAAAACAUCAAAUCGUACGCUGGGGUGGUGGAUGGUGGUGAAGACGACAGUGCCUUGUGGGAUUAUCUAUUGGGUGUGAGGUGUGUGGAGGACAUGAGUCGGAUUGCGAGUUUGCAAGUUCCAAAAGUUGGAUGAGUCUGAAAGCAUUUAUGACUCGGAAAUGGAGCAGUAGCUGUAGUGUUCAGGUUCAGCUAAUCUUCUCUUGCACACAUCACAAACUCCAGUGUUUAACAGAGGGCCGCAAUGUGGGAGAGGAUUCAGAGAUAUAACCAACCGCUUGUUGCACUUAUAUGGCUGCAACCCAAAUCAUUACAUCAAAUUAACUUUAAGAUUUUUGGAGAUAAUUAAGGUAGAUAGAGCAGGGAUAUACCUGAAUCUGAGAACAGUCAAUGUACUUAUCCAUAGCACCAAGGGAGACGACAUCCUUGUAGACAUGCCUGUAUAUUUUGAGGAUCUUAUGAUGGCGAUGGGUAGCUGAGGACAUACAAUAUUGGCAAGCUGACAAAUUGCAGUUUAUGCAAUAUCUAUUUGUCUCAUUUCUACGAAUUGGAUGAGUUGUACACGAUUCAAAGAAUGUUCUUUUCAGGAAUUCUUCGAUCCACUCUGGUUCCUUGGUGUGUCUGUGGUGUGUUGCUUCUUCAGCCUGACAAUUUAUUUGUUUGAGUAAGAAUAUCAUUGAUCAAGACAAACAUUCCGCCUA